rnacentral:rRNA from 1 species
UAAGUAGGCGGUGGAAAAUGAACCAAAUGGGAUUCCUUAAGUAAUUGCGAAUGAACAAGGAAAUGCUCAGCUUGAAAAAUGGGGCCUUUGGCUUUGAAUUGUAAUUUUGAAAUGUAUUGCCAAUGGAGGCGCAGGUGCAAGCCUAUUGAAAGAAAGCGUCAACGAGGGUGAAAUUCCUUUUUGUCAUUUGCAGUCCUCCGUGCACGGUAUAUAUUUGACGAGUCACACUCCUCGGCAUUGGAAUGCAAAGUGGGUGGUAAAUUCCAUGUAAAGGUAAAUAUAUUAUUGAGACUGAUAGCAAACAAGUACCAUGAGGGAAAUAUGAAAAGGACUUUGAAAAGGGAAUUAAAAGAGUCUGCAUUUGCUGAACAGAAAGCAAACAGAAUUGAUGUGCUUGGUGAGAUUGUUGUGCCCACUCUGUCAUUUAUGUCGGAUGUGGGUGCGAUGGUUCUUACCUUGAAUGUCAGCUUCUAUUUCUGCAAAUCAUUACCCUUGCACAUGAAUGGUAAUUUGCCUGCGGGUAUUGGAAUGUAUGUGUUUGCAAUGAUUUGUGAUUUGAUGCAUGUGGUUGGUGGACUUUGUAUGUGCUGUUUUGCCAACGGGGAAGGGACUCUUCCUUGAGCACUGCAAGCCCUUGCACAUUGAUGCUGGCAAAAUGUUUCUGCUUGACCCG